GGGCGGUUAGCUCAGUUGGUUAGAGCGCAUGCAUGACACGCAUGAGGUCACAGGUUCGAACCCUGUACUGCCCA
rnacentral:tRNA from 1 species